GGCCUCGUAGCUCAGUUGGUUAGAGCGUCGGCUGUACUAAAGUCUUUCCCCUUACUGACAUGGGUUCGAAUCCCACCGAGGGCG
rnacentral:tRNA from 1 species